AUUGAACGCUGGCGGCAGGCCUAACACAUGCAAGUCGAGCGAGCGGCGGACGGGUGAGUAAUGUCUGGGAAACUGCCUGAUGGAGGGGGAUAACUACUGGAAACGGGAGCUAAUACCGCAUACCAUCAGAUGUGCCCAGAUGGGAUUAGCUAGUAGGUGGGGUAACGGCUCACCUAGGAGACGAUCCCUAGCUGGUCUGAGUGGAUGACCAGCCAAACUGGGACGGAGACAAGGUCCAGACUCCGACGGUAGGCAGCAGUGGGGAAUAUUGGACAAUGGGCGCAAGCCUGACGCAGCCCUGCCGCGUGUGUGAAGAAGGCCUUCGGGUUGUAAAGCACUUUCAGCGGGGAGGCGUUACCCGCAGAAGAAGCACCGGCUAACUCCGUGCCAGCCGCCGCGGUAAUUC
rnacentral:rRNA from 1 species